AGAGUGCUGGAGGCUUCAUUGUGAGGACGGUGUUUGUGCAUCUCACGGGAGCUAUUGGGGCCAUGCAUUUUGCUGAUGUAUGAUGGGAGUCCUCCAGGAGCGACACGGCUGAGAGGCUGGAGACUGAUCAGCCUCUGCUCUAAGCAGUCCACAUGGAGUGAGAAAGAAGAGGAGUACGUAAGAUGCUUCACAGGGUGAACUGUUCGCUCAGCCGCUGUGCUAGCUGCACCAGGAGGCGGGACUUUGUAGAAUGCUUAGAUUUCUUCUCUUCUGCACUUUAAGGCCCGAGGACAUCAGAAAACGAACUUAAUUCUAUGGACAUCGUCACCACCCUGAUUCUUGCUUCUUAAAUUGCUUGGCGUGUUCUCUCUCAUAUGCAGAUCCCAGCUUCCGAUUUUUAUGUACCGUUUAUGUGGAAGCGAACUGUGAGCAGGGGUCAAGAAAUUAGAAAGAGGACCUAAGAGGAGGAGAAGAUAAGAUGCCUUAGUGGUGGAGGGCUGGGGAGCGCAAUAGCCUGCAUGCGAUAAAUAGGAAUGUGAGGAAUGGUGGCUAUAAGCAGAGACAGGGAAUCGGGAGGGGUGUGCAGAGAAAUGGGGAGAGGAGCAGGCGGUGGAAGAAUCAACUGAAACUAAGUAUGUAUGAAAAUCCCAUAAGGAACUUGUUAGUUUAUGCUAAUUAAAAAAUUACUUGGCAUGAUGAAAUCAGAUGGUCUGCGUCUUAGAGAAAGGAUAGCAGUUGCAGCAUUUACAUCUGAAAUACACGGUUUCUUAACGAAAAAAGUCUAGGUGUCCGGCACCACUCUAGUUCCUCUGCAGCCUGCUGUCCAUUGCAGAGCACGCAACGAACUGCUCUUCCUGUCUACGUGGUGAAUUCAUUGCCCAGGUGUCCCGCUGCCUUACUCCUCUAUCACCCGACUUCACGUUACAUUUUCCCUCUAUACAGAAGAAAAAGGAAUAUGCUAAGUAAUUUCUUAAAUUAGUUAUACUCAUUCACUUAUUUGGGGAAUGAUACAGCACAAGUGUGUCACAGCCUGCAAGUGGAGGUCAAAGACAACUUGGCCUUGUUGGAGUCAGUUCUCUCCUUCCAUCACAUGGGUCCUGGGCAUCAAAGUAAGGUUGUCAGGCUGGGCGGCAGGUACUUUUACCGAUUAAGCCGUUUCACCAGACCCAGGGAAAGUUUACUAAUGUGAACACUGAAGGCAGUGGUUCUCAACCUUCCUAACACUGUGAGACCCUUUAAUACAGUGCCUCAAGUUGUAGUGACCCCAAUCAUAAAAUCAUUUCAUUACUACUUCAUAAGUAUAAUUUUGCUACUGUGAUGAAUCACAGUGUAAACACCUGUGUUUUCCAAUGGUCUUAGGUGACCCCUGUGAAAGGUUUGGUUGAGACUUCAAAGGGGUCUCAACCCAUAGGUUAAAAACCACUGACUCAGAUUCUUUAAUAGCUGUAAAAUAUACCAUUUUUUCUUUUAAGGAAAAUAAACUUUCCCUAAGGAUUUACCAUGUGUC
rnacentral:lncRNA from 1 species